rnacentral:tRNA from 1 species
AGGAAGAAAGUAAGAAACCGCUAAUUUCUCAACCCUGAAGCUAACACUUCGGCUUCCC